AGUGGGGAAUUUUCCGCAAUGGGCGAAAGCCUGACGGAGCAAGACCGCGUGAGGGAGGAAGGCUCUUGGGUUGUAAACCUCUUUUCUCUGGGAAGAAGACAGUGACGGUACCAGAGGUAUCAGCAUCGGCUAACUCCGUGCCAGCAGCCGCGGUAAUACGGAGGAUGCAAGCGUUAUCCGGAAUUAUUGGGCGUAAAGCGUCCGUAGGUGGUAAUUCAAGUCUGCCGUUAAAACCAGUGGCUUAACCACUGACAGGCGGUGGAAACUGAAUAGCUAGAGUGUGGUAGGGGUAGAGGGAAUUCCCAGUGUAGCGGUGAAAUGCGUAGAGAUUGGGAAGAACACCAGUGGCGAAAGCGCUCUGCUGGACCACAACUGACACUCACAGGACGAAAGCUAGGGGAGCGAAAGGGAUUAGAUACCCCUGUAGUCCUAGCCGUAAACGAUGGAUACUAGGUGUUGUGAGUAUCGACC
rnacentral:rRNA from 1 species